GACGAACGUUGGCGGCGUGCUUAAUACAUGCAAGUCCACUGAAGCAGUGGUAGCAAUAUCGCUGUGGAGGUGGCGCACGGGUGAGUAACACGUAGGUAAUCUGCCUUCAGGUCUGGCAUAACUCCGGGAAACCGGGGCUAAUAGCAGAUGAUGCAGCGGCUCGACAUCGAGACAGUUGUUAAAGCUAUGGCGCCUGAAGAUGAGCCUGCGUCUGAUUAGCUAGUUGGCGGGGUAACGGCCCACCAAGGCAACGAUCAGUAGCUGGUCUGAGAGGAUGAUCAGCCACACUGGAACGGAGACACGGUCCAGACGCCUACGGGAGGCAGCAGUAAGGAAUAUUGCUCAAUGGGAGAAAUCCUGAAGCAGCAACGCCGCGUGAGGGACGAAGGGCUUUUGCUUGCAAACCUCUGUAGUGAGAGAAAAAAAUCCCAAUCUUUGGGACAUGAUGGUAUCUCAAAAGUAAGCCCCGGCUAACUACGUG
rnacentral:rRNA from 1 species